rnacentral:lncRNA from 1 species
AGUGGACUUAGGAAGCACAUUCAAGAAGGCUGUGUUAGUGGCUUGAAGAAAAAGAAAACAAGUCAAACCCUAUGGAGGGCAGAGUGGGCUGCAUGAGGGACGAAGGAUUAAGCCAUGGCCCUGAGAGUUAACAUGACAUUAGGACUCAGAAAAAAAAUGUUGUGUGGAUGGGGAUGAAAAACCCAUUUCCUUCUAAACCCACCAUGGACAUCUGUUCUGCUGUAGACCCGAGAAGCAGCACAGUGGAGUGCAGGAUGGUCCAGUACAUAGUGACACACACAACACACACUGUGUCAGAUGGCUGCCCAGUCUGAGGGAAACCAGGGCAGAACAACACGUAGCUCCUGCCUGGCAACAACAGAUGAGGAUGGCCUCCUUACCAUUUUGGCACCACACACUGCCCUCAUCACGAGUGCUGUUGUCACCAAAGCAAUGGCCACUGCUUCAUCUCAUCACACUGAGCUGCAGUCAUGCGGAUGGCUGCUUUGCCCAGUCCCCACCAUUAAUACAGAAUUUUCUAUCAUAGCCAUUUCACGAUGUCAGUGAGGAUGGACUGAUUUGAGUAAAACAUCUAAGCUCAUUUUCUUCUAUCUCUGCCUGGCUUGAGAUUUCCUGUCAGUAUCAGUUUUUAAAAUUUAUCUUCCAUUUUCCUUAUUUAGAUUUUUGUAAAACAAUGGACUUUUUAUUCUCAAUCUUCCUGGCCCUAGAUAUGAAUCUCAGAAUGCUUGUUUUACAAUGCCUUUGAUUUCUUCCUUAGUGUUUAAAAACAACAAUAAAAAUACACUAUUCUGACAUAAGUUUAUCUAAAUAGUAUUUAGCAAUUUCAUGGGAAAUGUUGAGUAACUCCCACUGUUACUUGAGGAUUAACUGGAGACCCAGGCUAGGAUUGAAU